rnacentral:rRNA from 1 species
GGGGAAUAUUGCGCAAUGGGCGCAAGCCUGACGCAGCGACGCCGCGUGAGCGAUGAAGGCCUUCGGGUUGUAAAGCUCUGUCAGAGGGGAAGAUCGUGACGGUACCCUCAGAGGAAGCCCCGGCUAACUACGUGCCAGCAGCCGCGGUAAGACGUAGGGGGCGAGCGUUGUCCGGAAUUACUGGGCGUAAAGGGCGUGUAGGCGGCCAGGCAAGUCAGUGGUGAAAAACCUGGGCUCAACCGAGGUAUUGCCGUUGAAACUGUCUGGCUUGAGGGUAGAAGAGGAGUGUGGAAUUCCCGGUGUAGCGGUGAAAUGCGUAGAGAUCGGGAGGAACACCAGUGGCGAAGGCGGCACUCUGGUCUAUACCUGACGCUGAGGCGCGAAAGCCAGGGGAGCAAAC